rnacentral:rRNA from 2 species
CCCCGAAAGCUAUUUAGGUAGCGCCUCGUGAAUUCAUCUCCGGGGGUAGAGCACUGUUUCGGCUAGGGGGCCAUCCCGGCUUACCAACCCGAUGCAAACUGCGAAUACCGGAGAAUGUUAUCACGGGAGACACACGGCGGGUGCUAACGUCCGUCGUGAAGAGGGAAACAACCCAGACCGCCAGCUAAGGUCCCAAAGUCAUGGUUAAGUGGGAAACGAUGUGGGAAGGCCCAGACAGCCAGGAUGUUGGCUUAGAAGCAGCCAUCAUUUAAAGAAAGCGUAAUAGCUCACUGGUCGAGUCGGCCUGCGCGGAAGAUGUAACGGGGCUAAACCAUGCACCGAAGCUGCGGCAGCGACGCUGAUGCGUUGUUGGGUAGGGGAGCGUUCUGUAAGCCUGCGAAGGUGGCCUGUGAGGGUUGCUGGAGGUAUCAGAAGUGCGAAUGCUGACAUAAGUAACGAUAAAGCGGGUGAAAAGCCCGCUCGCCGGAAGACCAAGGGUUCCUGUCCAACGUUAAUCGGGGCAGGGUGAGUCGACCCCUAAGGCGAGGCCGAAAGGCGUAGUCGAUGGGAAACGGGUUAAUAUUCCCGUACUUGGUGUUACUGCGAAGGGGGGACGGAGAAGGCUAUGUUGGCCGGGCGACGGUU